rnacentral:rRNA from 1 species
UAGGGAAUCUUCCGCAAUGGGCGAAAGCCUGACGGAGCAACGCCGCGUGAGUGAUGAAGGUCUUCGGAUCGUAAAACUCUGUUAUUAGGGAAGAACAAAUGUGUAAGUAACUAUGCACGUCUUGACGGUACCUAAUCAGAAAGCCACGGCUAACUACGUGCCAGCAGCCGCGGUAAUACGUAGGUGGCAAGCGUUAUCCGGAAUUAUUGGGCGUAAAGCGCGCGUAGGCGGUUUUUUAAGUCUGAUGUGAAAGCCCACGGCUCAAACGUGGAGGGUCAUUGGAAACUGGAAAACUUGAGUGCAGAAGAGGAAAGUGGAAUUCCAUGUGUAGCGGUGAAAUGCGCAGAGAUAUGGAGGAACACCAGGGGCGAAGGCGACUUUCGGGUCUGUAACUGACGCUGAUGUGCGAAAGCGUGGGGAUCAAACAGG